rnacentral:rRNA from 1 species
CCCUUAGAUGUUCUGGGCCGCACGCGCGCUACACUGACGAAUGCAACGAGCUUAUAACCUUGGCCGAAAGGUCUGGGUAAUCUCCAAAUUUCGUCGUGAUGGGGAUAGAUUAUUGCAAUUAUUAAUCUUCAACGAGGAAUGCCUAGUAAGCGCAAGUCAUCAGCUUGCGUUGAUUACGUCCCUGCCCUUUGUACACACCGCCCGUCGCUCCUACCGAUUGAAUGGUCCGGUGAAGCGUUCGGACCGUGGCCUUUGGACGGUUUGCCGUCUGUUGGCUGCGGGAAGUUCGUUAAACCUUAUCAUUUAGAGGAAGGAGAANUCGUANCA